ensembl:lncRNA
CUAACUUUAACUGGGUGCUACCCUGGUCUUCUGGCACUGAACCCUCACUGUGGGCCGGUUCAUUAAGAGAAGAUUCACUGAGCCCUUUGAAAACACGGCUGAAAUCAGAUUGAUGGCACAGACGUGGAGAACUGACUGAUCAUGCAUGGAGUUCACCCACGUUAUUCUUUUUCUUAGGGAUAACUACUUGAGCUCCGUCUCAAACGUGUCCGAGUCAGUAGCUGCAGUAAGGUCCCAUGCAACCACAUAUCAAUUGGAGGACUUUACCCAUUAGGUCUUUUCAGGAAAACCAUAACCAGCUGAGAGCCAAGAGAAGCCGCACUCUUCUCAGAAUGGAAGGCUGCGAAGUCUGCAAAAUAUUCAACCGAGUCUUAAGUGCUUAGAUGUUUAAUAAGCAAAUAAAUCUGUUUGUUUAUAGAAAUAAUGAUUAAGCAAACUCCAGACUAAUGAAUAAAAUAUUAGGAGUUAGAGGAGAAAUAAACACCGUAAAACACCAUUCUUAAAAUGCUGUUUAAGAAUGCUGGCUCAGAUCGGUGGGAGUGUUUAAAUUUAUCCUGUACGCCAUCAUACACCAACUCGGAUGCAUCCUAUGUUGCUUUGCCUCAAAAAAGUACAGCCAAAGUCCCUCCCUGAAAUGUUAGAUGCAGCUUCAUACAGAGCCGCAGGCAUCAUAACAGAGAAGCAGUGCUGGAUCACGAAUUAAGCUUGCCAGCUAACCUUCGCUCACUAGCUGGAAGACGAGCUCUUAUUAAAGUAGAAAGCUUUUUCUCAUUCACUCGGUGUUGAGUAACUGUGACGGUUGCGUUAAUGUCCACAAUAAAGUUCAUUAUUCAUGCAUUCUAAUUAAUGUGCUGAAUGCAGCUUGGGACACAGCCCUAAAUUCACACUGAAUGAGUUGUACUUGUAUUUUGCAGCUACUGGUUUCUUUCCUCUUCGCAGUUUCUUCAGUAGAUUCACUCACCGGGCAAACUUCCUGAAGAACAUUCUCAGUGAGCCGAGGUCCAGUGGCGCCAGAUGCUACACCUACAGUUUAAAGCUUCCUGUCUGAGGUUUCCAGAAUAUUUCUCCACAUUUGAGUGGGUAGGAUUCAGUUUCUGGAUACUCAACAUACAUAUGGAUGUGGCAUAUUUUUACCCAGUUCUUUGCACAACCGUGAACGCAGCACUGCCAACUGGUGGCCUGGAGCAAAAGAGAAGAGAAGAGAAUUAAUAUUUCACUCAUUUAGACACUCAUCAGGAUCCACUGUUUAUUCAGAAAACUCGUUUGAUGCCCCAGAGGAUUGUAUGGUGGGGGUGACAGUGAGUGAGGGAUAGUUGAGGCAUCUACAGUGAUGAAAGACUCUACUUUCAGACUGUACAAUAAACGGCCCCAUUUUCAGACUGUUUAUUGUAUUAUAAAUAAUCAUUACGGCUUUCUAAAGGUGUGCGCUGCAAUUUAAUUAAUCCAGGGGAAAUGUGGUGGGCUAACUACAGAGAGCCCUACCUCUUUCACACCCUCCACAAUAUGUCUUUGAUGCUAGUGGGACUCGGAAGUAAUUUACACUCUGAUUAUUUAUAUUUGCCUGUGUAAGCAGUGUAAAAUGAAGCCAUGAAUGCUGGUACAGCACCUUCCCAAACUCUUAACUCAGGCUUAAUUGCUUGGUUACAAGGUUACAAAAGAGCAUACACUGUAUGUGUGUAUAGUGCUGUGAAAAAGUAUUUCUUCUGUUUUUGUGUACAUCUCAUACUGAAUAGUUUUAGAUCUUCCAGUGAAAUGUAACAAAGGCAACCUGUGU